GACGAACGCUGGCGGCGUGCUUAACACAUGCAAGUCGAACGGUGAAGCGCCUUCCUUUUUGGUGGGUGUGGAUGAGUGGCGAACGGGUGAGUAACACGUGAGUAACCUGCCCCCUUCUUCUGGAUAACCGCAUGAAAGUGUGGCUAAUACGGGAUAUUCUGGGUCUGUCGCAUGAUGGGUCUGGGAAUGGUAUUGUUUCGGUGGGGGAUGGCCUCGCGGCCUAUCAGCUUGUUGGUGGGGUGGUGGCCUACCAAGGCGGUGACGGGUAGACGGCCUGAGAGGGUGGGCGGUCUCGCUGGGACUGAGACACGGCCCAGACUGCUACGGGAGGCAGCAGUGGGGGAUAUUGCACGAUGGGCGCAAGGCUGAUGCAGCGACGCCGCGUGAGAGAUGGAGGCCUUCGGGUUGUGAACCUCUUUCGCCAGUGAAGCAGGCCUGCCUCGUUUGUGGGUGGGUUGACGGUAGCUGGAUAAGAAGCGCCGGCUAACUACGUG
rnacentral:rRNA from 1 species